rnacentral:siRNA from 1 species
CUGGGCUUUCACGAGUCGACC